rnacentral:lncRNA from 1 species
UGAACACAAAAUCUGGUACAUACAUACAAGAAAUAUGGGACUUGAGUUUGAGCUUGAACUUGAGCUCAGAUAAAAAUGACUUCUUCCUGGAGAGAGCCUUGCUUGCGGUACAUUCAACUUGUCCAUGGUUUCAUUCCCUUUUUCGUUGGUUGAUUUGUUUCUAACUAAUAUGCUUUUAUUGGUUAUAAAAAAGUUGGUACAAAACUGCGCUUAGUUUGUUGUAAUUGGCAAUGGAAAGAUUACUCUGCAUUUUUUGUCUUUGAUAGGAGCUUGAAAACAUCCUCCAGGAUUGCAUACCUCCAGAGCAGUGAGCCUAUACCUAUCGAUAUUUAUAUAUACACUUAUAUAUAUACCUGAUUGCAGAAAGAUAGUAGUAUACAUUUAUACAUACAGUAUAUCUAAUGAGAUGCAGAAUACCAAAUGAGAUGCAAAACUUAAAAAGUAACUUAUUUAGUCUUACUUAUCUUCUAUCUUCUUCUGAGAAUUUCUUGCACAAAGUCAAGUCGUAAAAAUAUUUUCCGCAAUAUUUCGUGUUUUCGCUCUUUUGUCGAUUCUGCAAACCACAAAGGAGCGAGAACUACGACUUAUGGAAUGAGUCUAUUCGUGGUUUUUACAAUCUGCAUCUGUACCGUGAGACAANGAGUGAGUAACAAACGAGAUAAAACAAUGGAAUUAGUGUUAACAACUAUGUACUAUAUNCUUACUAUUCUUUCACGGGCCAAGUAAAAUCAUUCUACCUAUAUAAUAUGCCCUACCUACUCUAUGACCAGCAUACUCUGUCCAGCAGAUCAUUCCCUCUCCAGGGACCACGACCCUGAAGGCCAUCUCUUUCGGUAUUUCUUUCAAUGGACUCUUCUUAAAAUUGUCUUGAAGCUAACAUGGAAAUACAAAAGAAAUGCCACAAAUUCAUCGAGAAAAAGUGUGAUUUCUUUUGCAUUUUCAUGCCAUUUAGCCUCGCAUGGACGAUACUUUUGAGAAGGGUCCAUUGCAAACACACCUAUAGAGGCUUAGCACCAUUACUUGAUCGCAACCAUGACAGGAGGCAGGAACACUGAAUGGGCCUUUUGCAUGAUGGCGUCAUUUUACUACCAUAACCAAAAUGCUUCGCUAAUUUUCUUUCUUAUUCAAAUUUUUAUAUUUCCUCGUGAGAAUAGUAAGACAAUUGGUGCUAAUUAACUGAACCAAAAAAGUGUGCAAGGGAGUCUGGUAGUGGUAGUGAAUGACGCUAUAAUGCAAAUGACCUAUUGAAACUGGUCAAUUCUGAUUUACAUGGCUACCAUCACGUGAUGAUGCAAAGCCCCUAGGACUGGUUUUCAAUCUCGCCAUAUUGUUAAGNUACAUUUCAUUUGAAAACGUGAAAAUAUAUUAAGCGNUUAUUAAAUUAUAACAAAUCUCGAAAAGCAGUACUAUAGCUCGCUGUAUUAGUAUUAAAAACUGAGUGUGUCUACUUCUGUUAAUUCAAGCAGGUCUGUUACGUUGCUAUAGAAACUGUUGUCUUCCAUUUACUCUCCAAGCAAAUCAAUGUUUAUCUCCCCCAGUCUCCCUCAUCCUAAACUUAAACGGAACCGGAAAUAAACUUUGUUUGAUUACUUUCUCCGGAAACUCGACAGAAUGCAAAGUUCCCCUGUUCUUAUGAAAUGCAAACCGAUGACAGGAGGCAGGAACAUUUCUGACUUCGUAGAGAAAAGUCGUCGCUGAUUGGUAAUUUUCGGAUGUAGUUCAAUGCUCAUGUCACUAGCCAAUAUCAUGGGAAAAUUUUCACAAAGCUUGGUUUAAUCAUGGAGACUAAUUGGUGAAGCACAAAACUUGUAAACUCAGUUGCUAUUCUGAAACUAGCCGUUAUAUGCCAAAAUUUAGUUAAGGUCUAUGAUAUGUCUUGAAGGCAAAUACAUAUAUACAUACAAGCUUUAUCAUAGGCGAGUUAAACAAAUACUUGGUUUCCAAUCUAGAAAUAGAAAACUAAAUAAGAAUGCAUGACUGCUGAUCACAUUGCAUUUCAAAUCAAAUUCUAUUGGUGUAUGGCACAUGAUGUGUAUCGGUAUAUGUCAAUAAUUUAAAAUUUUUAUUGUUAUGACAGGCAGACGGCUGAAAAAUUAAAAAUAAACUUUUUAAAACCAAUUACAACACAACAUAAUUUUCUCAUGAGACGUCAUCAUUUUCAUUUUCACUAAAGACACAAAGGCGUUGUUUCUCAGUGACCGUACGUCUGAAACCUAUUGAAUAACUUCAAGACGUUUGAGGAUUAUGCAUGGAGAAAAACAAUUGGAAACUCUGAACAAAACUUCAGCGCUGGAAGGGUCAAAUAUCGAUCUCAGAAUCGUGCAUUUUGUUGACUUGCAGCUCUCUCUGGAUCAGGAAGGCUUUAAUCCAUUUACGGAAAAGUUCCAGGAAAUGCCGCUACAAGCCGUGCGAGUAAAUAGAACUCAAAAGAAGUUGAAAAGAAAAGG